rnacentral:misc_RNA from 1 species
AAGUCGUAACAAGGUCUCCGUUGGUGAACCAGCGGAGGGAUCAUUACAGAGUUUCCACGACUCACUAAACCAUUGCGAACCCUACCUAACCGUUGCUUCGGCGGGAGGCGCCCUCUACCCCUGCGUACCCCGGUAUGAUGGGUGGCUGUGGGGCGCCCCCGGGCCAGUAGGCGCCCGCCGAAGGAAUCCCGAAACCCCUGAUUAACGCACGGCCUCUCUGAGUCUCGAUACUAAAUAAGUCAAAACUUUCAACAACGGAUCUCUUGGUUCUG